GACGUAGGGCGCAAGCGUUGUCCGGAUUUAUUGGGCGUAAAGAGCUCGUAGGCGGCUCGUUGCGUCGGCUGUGAAAACCCGCAGCUCAACUGUGGGCUUGCAGCCGAUACGGGCGGGCUGGAGUUCGGUAGGGGAGAAUGGAAUUCCCGGUGUAGCGGUGAAAUGCGCAGAUAUCGGGAAGAACACCCGUGGCGAAGGCGGUUCUCUGGGACGGUACUGACGCUGAGACGCGAAAGCGUGGGGAGCGAACAGG
rnacentral:rRNA from 1 species